rnacentral:lncRNA from 1 species
UGGUUUUGAAUAUCUUUAUUUAUGCUUUCAACAUUGAUUAGAAAUAUUUAUAUGAGAACUUUUGUGUAAAAAUGAUACAGCAGUAAAAGAUAUAUUGAUAACACAAAAUUAUAACAUAACACUGUCAAACACUGCAGUCGAAAGACAACAAUUAUAUUGAUAAAACAUAGUAAUUAUAUAAGUGUUGUACACCAAUUGUAGGGCCUGGCAUUUUCUCAUAUCUAAGUCUAUUCCUUAUAUCGAUCUCAUAUCAGGUCAAUAAACCAAUGUCAAUGAAUAUGUUCAUAGCGAAAACAAAUAAUGGGUUUUAAGUUUUUGAUAAAAAUAAACGACGAAAAAGUUGCCAUAAAAUUUAUUUUCUCGCCUGAGUUUGUAAAAUUAGAAAGCGUUAUACAUGUAAUCCGUAAAAUCU